rnacentral:rRNA from 1 species
UUGAGUCUCGUAGAGGGGGGUAGAAUUCCAGGUGUAGCGGUGAAAUGCGUAGAGAUCUGGAGGAAUACCGGUGGCGAAGGCGGCCCCCUGGACGAAGACUGACGCUCAGGUGCGAAAGCGUGGGGAGCAAACAGGAUUAGAUACCCUGGUAGUCCACGCCGUAAACGAUGUCGACUUGGAGGUUGUGCCCUUGAGGCGUGGCUUCCGGAGCUAACGCGUUAAGUCGACCGCCUGGGGAGUACGGCCGCAAGGUUAAAACUCAAAUGAAUUGACGGGGGCCCGCACAAGCGGUGGAGCAUGUGGUUUAAUUCGAUGCAACGCGAAGAACCUUACCUGGUCUUGACAUCCACGGAAGUUUUCAGAGAUGAGAAUGUGCCUUCGGGAACCGUGAGACAGGUGCUGCAUGGCUGUCGUCAGCUCGUGUUGUGAAAUGUUGGGUUAAGUCCCGCAACGAGCGCAACCCUUAUCCUUUGUUGCCAGCGGUCCGGCCGGGAACUCAAAGGAGACUGCCAGUGAUAAACUGGAGGAAGGUGGGGAUGACGUCAAGUCAUCAUGGCCCUU